GAUGAACGCUAGCUACAGGCUUAACACAUGCAAGUCGAGGGGAAACGACAUCGAAAGCUUGCUUUUGGUGGGCGUCGACCGGCGCACGGGUGAGUAACGCGUAUCCAACCUGCCCACCACUUGGGGAUAACCUUGCGAAAGUAAGACUAAUACCCAAUGAUAUCCCACGAAGGCAUCGGAAUGGGAUUAAAGAUUUAUCGGUGAUGGAUGGGGAUGCGUCUGAUUAGCUUGUUGGCGGGGUAACGGCCCACCAAGGCAACGAUCAGUAGGGGUUCUGAGAGGAAGGUCCCCCCACAUUGGAACUGAGACACGGUCCAAACUCCUACGGGAGGCAGCAGUGAGGAAUAUUGGUCAAUGGGCGAGAGCCUGAACCAGCCAAGUAGCGUGCAGGAUGACGGCCCUAUGGGUUGUAAACUGCUUUUAUAAGGGAAUAAAGUGAGCCUCGUGAGGCUUUUUGCAUGUACCUUAUGAAUAAGGACCGGCUAAUUCCGUG
rnacentral:rRNA from 1 species